rnacentral:rRNA from 1 species
UACGUAGGGGGCAAGCGUUGUCCGGAUUUAUUGGGCGUAAAGAGUGUGUAGGCGGUUUGGUAGGUCCGCUGUGAAAAACUCGAGGCUCAACCUCGAGACGCCGGUGGAAACCAUCAGACUAGAGUCCGGAAGAGGAGAGUGGAAUUCCUGGUGUAGCGGUGAAAUGCGUAGAUAUCAGGAGGAACACCUGUGGUGUAGACGGCUUUCUGGACCAUAACUGACGCUGAGACACGAAAGCGUGGGUAGCAAACAGG